rnacentral:rRNA from 1 species
GUGGGGAAUAUUGGGCAAUGGGCGCAAGCCUGACCCAGCAACGCCGCGUGAAGGAAGAAGGCUUUCGGGUUGUAAACUUCUUUGACAGGGGACGAAACAAAUGACGGUACCCUGAAAACAAGCCACGGCUAACUACGUGCCAGCAGCCGCGGUAAUACGUAGGUGGCAAGCGUUAUCCGGAUUUACUGGGUGUAAAGGGCGUGUAGGCGGGAUUACAAGUCAGAUGUGAAAACUAUGGGCUCAACCCAUAGCCUGCAUUUGAAACUGUAGUUCUUGAGUGAUGGAGAGGCAGACGGAAUUCCUCGUGUAGCGGUGAAAUGCGUAGAUAUGAGGAGGAACACCAGUGGCGAAGGCGGUCUGCUGGACAUUAACUGACGCUGAGGCGCGAAAGCGUGUGGAGCAAACAGGAUUAGAAACCCCGGUAGUCC